GUGCCAGCCGCCGCGGUAAGACAGAGGAGCCAAGCGUUGUCCGGAUUGACUGGGCGUAAAGCGCACGCAGGCGGUCGCGCGCGUGGGGUGUGAAACCUGGCGGCUUAACUGCCAGACGCCAUCCCAUACGGCGCGACUCGAGCCUUGGAGAGGUCCAUGGAAUUGCCGGUGUAGUGGUGAAAUGCGUAGAGAUCGGCAGGAACACCCAGGGGGAAACCAGUGGACUGGCCAGGUGCUGACGCUCAGGUGCGAAAGCGUGGGGAGCGAACCGGAUUAGAAACCCCUGUAGUCC
rnacentral:rRNA from 1 species